AACCGCACGGGAUAAUUCAUCUUCCCAUGCGGUCCGAUUAAGGGGACCGCACACCGCAUGGGAUAAUCAAUUAUCCUGUGCGGUC
rnacentral:pre_miRNA from 21 species